rnacentral:rRNA from 1 species
UGGGGAAUCUUGCACAAUGCGCGAAAGCGUGAUGCAGCAACGCCGCGUGGGGGAAGAAGGCCUUCGGGUUGUAAACCCCUUUCAGUUGGGACGAAGCUUCGUCGGUUAAUAGCCGGCUGGAGUGACGGUACCUUCAGAAGAAGCCCCGGCUAACUACGUGCCAGCAGCCGCGGUAAUACGUAGGGGGCAAGCGUUGUCCGGAAUCAUUGGGCGUAAAGCGCGUGUAGGCGGUUCGGUAAGUCUGCUGUGAAAGUCCAGGGCUCAACCCUGGGAUGCCGGUGGAUACUGUCGGACUAGAGUACGGAAGAGGCGAGUGGAAUUCCCGGUGUAGCGGUGAAAUGCGCAGAUAUCGGGAGGAACACCAAUUGCGAAGGCAGCUCGCUGGGACGUUACUGACGCUGAGACGCGAAAGCGUGGGGAGCAAACAGG